UAAUUGGGAAACGUUUUUUCGCUUAAAAGGUAUGAGACUAUAUGGUAUCAGGUAGUUGGUGGGGUAAGAGCCUACCAAGCCUAUGACGCCUAGCAGGUCUGAGAGGGAUGAUCGAGCCCACACUGGAACUGAGACACGGUCCAG
rnacentral:rRNA from 1 species